rnacentral:lncRNA from 1 species
UGUGAGGAUAGAGCAGGAACACGGGAAGGCUUGGUACUGGGAGGGUACGGAUUAUUUUUAUAAGCAAGGAGUGUGACAUCUAUUUUUAGAGGAGAAAGAAUUUCGUUACAAAGAACUCUCCUAGUCCCCUCCCAGAGUGGAUGGGCUGAGGUGCGGGGGAGCAGUAGGCCCGGAGGACUCCCUGAAGAGGUGGCCUGGGGAUUCCUGGCAGAGGGAACGGCCUGUGCAAAGGCCUGGAGACACGCGACUGAAGCGCGCCUAACAAUGGCUACCAUGGAUUCGUGGGCAGGCGCCUGUACACUCAAUCCUCACGGCAGCUCCAGGACACUGGAGUUAGUGCUCCUGUCUCACAGGAAAGGAAACGUUGGCUCAGAAAGAAAAGGAAAAGGGACAACUAUUCGUGGACCUACUCUGUGCCAAGCACUUCGCAAGCGUUACGUCACCAAGUCUUCGCAGAACCCUCGAGUGACUCACCACCGUUAUUCCUGUUUUACAGAUAAGGAAACCGAAGCACAGAGAGGCAGGUCAUCUGGCUGAGGUCACACAGCCACACGGCGAGAGAGCAGUGAAGCUGGAGUUCCAGCAAGCUCCACCUGGCGAGAAUUCAAGCCCUGCCAUGGGCCACCUCUCUGGAGGAAGAGAAAGCCAGCUUCAGACUCUGCCUCUCUCAAUCCUUAUACAAGGCCAGAGAGCGCUUGAGGCUUCCAGGCACUCCUAUGCUUACACACCUUCCAUGGCUCCCAGCUGCCCUCCAGAUAAAGAACAAUCUCCUCAGUGUGGCCCUUGAGGUCCUGUGAUCUGGCCUCUGUCCACCACCAGGGCCCCCCUCCUGGCCAGAUCUCUGAGCCUCGGCCAAGCUGACCUGCUUCUCUCAGGGCCUCAACAGGGCCGAUCUCCAUCCCUGCUGUUCCCUUGGUCCAGCAUGCUGUUCCCCUCUAGUUGCUUCUCCUUACCCUGGGGGCCUCCACUCAAAUGCCACCUCCUCCACUGGCCGGACGCUGCCAUUAACCUGCUCGAGUGCUCUCCCUGCAAAACUCAGCACAGGCUGGGCACAGUGGCUCAUGCCUGUAAUCCCAGCACUUUGGGAGGCCGAGGUAGGAUGACUGUUCGAGCCCAGGAGUUCAAAACCAGCCUGGGCAACAAAGUGAGAUCCUGUCUCUAUUUUUUAAAAAAUUAGCCGGGCGCAGUGGAGCACAACUGUAGUCCCAGCUACUCAGGAGCUUAAGGCUAGGGGGUAGCUUGAGCCCAGGAGUUCGAGGCUGCAGUGAGCUGUGAUCACAUCACUGCACUCCCACCUGGGUAACAGAGCAAGACCCUGUCUCAAAAAAAAAAAAAAAAAAAAAAGACCCAUAGCACAAUUGUAAUCAUGUGGGUCAUUGUGGGGUGGUGAGUCACAGCUGGUGAGUGGCAGAAUCAAGACCAGGUCCAGGUGGUACAGCCACAGAGCUGGUGCCCCCAAGUACUCGGCUGCUCACACGGGCCCCAAGAGACCUCCUCACUGGCAAGAGGAAGCCACCUCCUCUCAGAAGAAUGAGCAGGGCUAGAGUACAGUGGCACAAUCACUUCUCACUGCAGUAGACAUGAACCACCGUCCCCUGUAACUACUGUUUAAGAAAGUAAAAAGAUGCAGAAGAAGUUAAUCUAAUAUUUUGUUUAACCCACUAUACUCCAAAUAUCAUUCCUACAUGUAAUCAAGAUAAAAAAAAUUAUUAAUGGCUGGGUGCCAUGGCUCACGCCUGUAAUCCCAGCAUUUUGAGAGGCCGAGGCAGGCGGAUCACCUAGGGUCAGGAGUUCAAGACCAGCCUGACCAACGUGGUGAAACCCUGUCUCUACUAAAAAUGCAAAAAUUAGCCAGGAUUGGUGGCGUGUGCCUGUAGUCCCAGCUACUCAAAAGGCUAAGACAGGAGAAUUGCUUGAUCUUAGGAGGCAGAGUCUACAGUGAGCCAAGAUUGCGCUGCUGCACUCUAGCCUGGGCAACAGAGCAAGACUCUGUCUAAAAAAAAAAAUAAUAAUAAAUAAAUAAUCAUUGAGAUAUCUUACUUUCUUCCAUACUAAGUCUUCAAAAUCCAGUGUGUAUUUCACACUUGUAACACAUCUCAGUUUGGAACAGCUGCAUUUCAACUGCUCAACAGCCACAUGUGGCCAGAGGCUACUGCACUGGGCAGCACAGUGCUAGACUAUAAACUCCAUGAGGGCAGGGACCAAGCCAUACCCACAAUUAUUAAAUCUAGCAUCUGACACAGAGUGGACACUCAAGAAAUGUUUGUUGACUGACUAGCUGAAUGAAAGAAUGAAUGAACAAAUGAAUGAAGGAAUGAACAAAUGAUCUAAGGCCUUCUCAGAUCUGAAGCCACACUCCCAGCACAGGCCAUGGGAAGGGCAUGGAGAUGAAUUCCAGCCCCACCUCUGCACCCACUUCUCUGAGUGACUGUAAGUACCUCCACUUUUGGGGCCUCAGUUUCUCCAGCUGGUCAAUGGCUGGGGGGCUGGACUCUUGUGAUUUUUCUGGGCUCUCACUAGAGGACUUUACCCAGAAGAUGGGAGUUGGGCCCUCGGUGAAGUUCCCUCCUCCAUGCCACCCCAUCACCCUACUCUCCCUCCACCUGUAAGAUAGGAGAUCUCAGGAAAGGCCUCCAGGUGGCCUUCUGUACAGAGUGGAGCCACACCCAAGAGGGGAAAGCUGAGGCAAGGCUUGGUACCUUGGCACAGGCAGCAAGGCCAGGGUGGGGGUGCUGAGGCUUGGCCUCCUCCCUCCAGCAUCAUCACCCCCACACCUCACAUUUGUUCAGAGUUGAGAAGAGAGCAGGGCGGGGCUUAUCCUUUCAGUUCUGCAGAGAAGGAUAAAAGAGACCGAGAGACAUGCCAAGACCAGUCUGAGGUCACAUGGGGGGCAUGACAGAACUGGCUACUGCCCUAGACCUCUGUUUUUCUCAUAUGAAAAAUGGAUACAAAAUGUGUCGUCAUCCUAUCAAACAUCAAUGCCUCAAAUCCAAGCUCCACUACUUAACAGCCCUGUGAUCUUGGGCAAGGUUUACCUGGCUGUGCCUCAACAUCCUUAUUUGUAAAUGGGUAUCAUAAUAGUGGCAACCUUGCGGGGUUGUUGAACCAUUAAUGUGUGAACGUAUGUAAAGCGCUCAUAAGAAUAUCUAGGACACUGUGAACGCCAUAUGAGUGAUAGAUAUUAUUAUCAGCCUUUAUCACAGAGCUGUACUGCAGUUUAAAUAAAGGAAGAGGUGUGAC